GAGCUCAGGACCCACUACCUCCCCGGCCCACUGCAAGCUUGAACAUUUGAUGGUGGACACCCCUCCCUGACUUUGUAUUAUGAUUCACAGGCUGCUCCCCAGAAUACUGAAGAAGAAACUCUAGGAGUGAGACCCAACAAUCUGUGUUUAACAAGUCCCCAGGCCCCUGGAUCCUCCUGGAAUCCCUGAUCCCUGUUGCUCCCUGGCGGAGUUUUCUAGUCCCUCUUACUUGAAGCAUGUCUUUCAGAGCCCGGCACCACCCAAGUUGGGUAUCUGCUACACCUCUAUGGUAUUUUUUUCACCUCAUAUCAUACCUUCCUCCCUCACUGGACUUCAGUGUGGGACCUGCAGGUCUCAGGCCUUCUGGGAAGUCCCAGCUUUUCUUGAAUGUUCUCUCUCUCUGGCCAGCUCAGGCUGGAGCAGUGGGUGUUGGUGCCAUCCUGUGGCUAUAGGUGAUAAGCCGGCUGUUCUUCACUGACCUGGUCUUACCUUGAACCCUGGAGUUCUCACAUGCAUGGAUUUAAAUGCUGUGUCUUUCUAAGGGCACAUUAUGGCCAUUUUCCUUAUCUCCCUCCCAAGGGGCUGUUUCCUGUAUUUAUUGACUCCCUGUUUAAAAAAAAUAUAUGUAUAUAUAGACAAAUUGGAUUGUACCCCAUAAACUGCAUGUUUUAAAAAUACUUCAAAGAAUAGUUUUUCAUUUUUUUCUUGCUGGUUUUUAUGUAUCUUCUAAAUUGUAUAUAUUUAUGGGGUAUAAAAUGAUGUUGUGAUUUUUCAAUACAGUGUGGAAUGAGAAUCAAAUUAACCUAUCCGUUACCUCAAGUACUUGACUUUUUUUGUGAUGAGAAGGCUGUUUAUCACUUUCA
rnacentral:lncRNA from 1 species